GGGGACCUCCGUGGGGAGCCAGCGUGAAUCGAGGGCAGGGCCCGGGCUCCCCGCCCCGUCUCCGCGGCAGACCCUGUGGUGAUUUAAAUGUGCCUGGUGGCGGUGAGGGGUCCAGAUGUAAAAUGUCAGCCCAGCCAGUGUGACAUCACCACGGUCUAGUGUGACACCCCCAGAAAUUGGGCAGCGCGCGGAGAGGCAGUGCCUACACGGGAAGCCCCCCUGCUGCUAAAAUCGGUCUUAACUGAUGAAGAGAAGUAGGGGAGAUUUUCUAGAAGAAGGAGCUAAUCUGUGGUGACCAAAUGUUAUGAGAAGUAAAGGAGGAUAAGGAGUCAAGAGCGGCCAGUGGACUUGGCAGUCGGAAGGUCGCUGGUGAUCUUGGGACAUGAGCUCCUAGGAGUGACAAGUACUCUGGGAAGAAGAGCUUACCAGAUCUGUGCCAGAUGGCUUUGGGCUUAGAAACUAAAACCAAAGCUGAGAAGUGAAGUGCCCACCUCUUGGGAAGCUACCCAGGAUAAUCAGCAGAAUAGGACAUUUUGAGGACAGUCCAUCCCAGGAGAAACGAUGGCUUUGGUGGAAUAGGAGUUUGGACGAAGGCCAUGCCUCUGGGGUUAAAGAGGAGGAGGAGUCAAAUGCAAAUAAAAACGGGGAAAGUGAACUAGAUACAGGUGAUGGAUGCACAAUGCCGUGAAGGCACUAAAUGUCACUGAGCUGUGCACUUUCAAAUGGUUAAUUGUAUGUUAUGUGAAUUUCACCUCAAUAAAAAAGAAAAAGA